GAUGAACGCUGGCGGCGUGCCUAAUACAUGCAAGUCGAGCGAACAGAUAAGGAGCUUGCUCCUUUGACGUUAGCGGCGGACGGGUGAGUAACACGUGGUUAACCUACCUAUAAGACUGGAAUAACUCCGGGAAACCGGGGCUAAUGCCGGAUAACAUUUAGAACCGCAUGGUUCUAAAGUGAAAGAUGGUUUUGCUAUCACUUAUAGAUGGACCCGCGCCGUAUUAGCUAGUUGGUAAGGUAACGGCUUACCAAGGCAACGAUACGUAGCCGACCUGAGAGGGUGAUCGGCCACACGGGAACUGAGACACGGUCCAGACUCCUACGGGAGGAAGCAGUAGGGAAUCUUCCGCGAUGGGCGAGUGCCUGACGGAGCAACGCCGCGUGAGUGAUGAAGGUCUUCGGAUCGUAAAACUCUGUUAUUAGGGAAGAACAAAUGUGUAAGUAACUGUGCACGUCUUGACGGUACCUAAUCAGAAAGCCACGGCUAACUACGUG
rnacentral:rRNA from 1 species